rnacentral:rRNA from 1 species
CCUACGGGUCGCAGCAGUGGGGAAUAUUGCACAAUGGGGGAAACCCUGAUGCAGCGACGCCGCGUGAGUGAAGACGUAAUUCGUUAUGUAAAGCUCUAUCAGCAGGGAAGAAAAUGACGGUACCUGAGUAAGAAGCCCCGGCUAACUACGUGCCAGCAGCCGCGGUAAUACGUAGGGGGCAAGCGUUAUCCGGAUUUACUGGGUGUAAAGGGAGUGUAGACGGCAGUGCAAGUCUGGAGUGAAAGGGGGGGGCUCAACCCCCGGACUGCGCUGGAAACUGUACGGCUGGAGUGCAGGAGAGGUAAGUGGAAUGCCUAGUGUAGCGGUGAAAUGCGUAGAUAUUAGGAGGAACACCAGUGGCGAAGGCGGCUUACUGGACUGUAACUGACGUUGAGGCUCGAAAGCGUGGGGAGCAAACAGGAGUAGAUACCCCAGUAGUC